UGCAAGUCGAACGCUUCUUUUCCCACCGGAGCUUGCUCCACCGGGAAAAGAGGAGUGGCGAACGGGUGAGUAACACGUGGGUAACCUGCCCAUCAGAAGGGGAUAACACUUGGAAACAGGUGCUAAUACCGUAUAACAAUCGAAACCGCAUGGUUUCGUUUUGAAAGGCGCUUUACGGUGCCGCUGAUGGAUGGACCCGCGGUGCAUUAGCUAGUUGGUGAGGUAACGGCUCACCAAGGCCACGAUGCAUAGCCGACCUGAGAGGGUGAUCGGCCACAUUGGGACUGAGACACGGCCCAAACUCCUACGGGAGGCAGCAGUAGGGAAUCUUCGGCAAUGGACGAAAGUCUGACCGAGCAACGCCGCGUGAGUGAAGAAGGUUUUCGGAUCGUAAAACUCUGUUGUUAGAGAAGAACAAGGGUGAGAGUAACUGUUCACCCCUUGACGGUAUCUAACCAGAAAGCCACGGCUAACUACGUGCCAGCAGCCGCGGUAAUACGUAGGUGGCAAGCGUUGUCCGGAUUUAUUGGGCGUAAAGCGAGCGCAGGCGGUUUCUUAAGUCUGAUGUGAAAGCCCCCGGCUCAACCGGGGAGGGUCAUUGGAAACUGGGAGACUUGAGUGCAGAAGAGGAGAGUGGAAUUCCAUGUGUAGCGGUGAAAUGCGUAGAUAUAUGGAGGAACACCAGUGGCGAAGGCGGCUCUCUGGUCUGUAACUGACGCUGAGGCUCGAAAGCGUGGGGAGCAAACAGGAUUAGAUACCCUGGUAGUCCACGCCGUAAACGAUGAGUGCUAAGUGUUGGAGGGUUUCCGCCCUUCAGUGCUGCAGCUAACGCAUUAAGCACUCCGCCUGGGGAGUACGACCGCAAGGUUGAAACUCAAAGGAAUUGACGGGGGCCCGCACAAGCGGUGGAGCAUGUGGUUUAAUUCGAAGCAACGCGAAGAACCUUACCAGGUCUUGACAUCCUUUGACCACUCUAGAGAUAGAGCUUCCCCUUCGGGGGCAAAGUGACAGGUGGUGCAUGGUUGUCGUCAGCUCGGUGUCGUGAGAUGUUGGGUUAAGUCCCGCAACGAGCGCAACCCUUAUUGUUAGUUGCCAUCAUUUAGUUGGGCACUCUAGCAAGACUGCCGGUGACAAACCGGAGGAAGGUGGGGAUGACGUCAAAUCAUCAUGCCCCUUAUGACCUGGGCUACACACGUGCUACAAUGGGAAGUACAACGAGUCGCGAAGUCGCGAGGCUAAGCUAAUCUCUUAAAGCUUCUCUCAGUUCGGAUUGUAGGCUGCAACUCGCCUACAUGAAGCCGGAAUCGCUAGUAAUCGCGGAUCAGCCCGCCGCGGUGAAUACGUUCCCGGGCCUUGUACACCCCGCCCGUCACCCCACGAGAGUUUGUAACCCCCGAAGUCGGUGAGGUAACCUU
rnacentral:rRNA from 1 species